rnacentral:rRNA from 1 species
GGGAACAGCCCAGCGCCGAAUCCCCGAUCUUAUAGGUCGCGGGAAAUGUGGCGUUUAGGAGUGAGCGUGCCGAGGUCGGAACCCGCAGCAAGUCCCCCUGACCGGGGCCUUCCCAGAGCGGGUGCGAGGCCCAUAGCCGCGGGGUCCGUCUCGGAUGCGAUCUCCUGGGAGUCGGGUUGCUUGGGAGUGCAGCCCUAAUCGGGUGGUAAACUCCACCUAAGGCUAAAUACCGCCGUGAGACCGAUAGCAAACAAGUACCGUGAGGGAAAGUUGCAAAGAACUUUGAAGAGAGAGUUCAAGAGUACGUGAAACUGCUCAGAGGUAAACGGGUGGGCCCUCGAAAUCCUGUGGAGGGAGGAUUCAGUCUGUAGUUGCCGUCGCGCUGACCGGAAACCAAAGGAAGGGCUUCCCGCAAACGGGGCCGUCCGGUCGCGAGCUUCGGUCAGGACAGACGCAUUUGACUCCCUCUCCGAGGACGCCGCAGCCCGCGGGGAAGUGCAAACGUGACGGCCUUGAGGUCGGGAGAUGGCAGGUGGCCGCUGGCGAGCCUCGUGCUCUUCGGCGGUUGUUAGCCGUCCCGUCGGUGGCUCGUCUCCCCGCGGAGGUAUCAUGACGUCYUACGAGGCGUCUGACGUCUCCUCCUCCGUGGAAGCUGGACUUGCAGUGGCGAGCAAAGGCAACCGCGCGGCCGCACUACGCCGUAGUGGGCCAGCGUCAGGUCGGUGCCGUCGGCCGCUGAGGACCGGUAGGAGGUUGGAGGCUAGCGGCGAGUAGGUCGGUCACCCACCCGACCCGUCUUGAAACACGGACCAAGGAGUCUAACAUGUGCGCGAGUCAAUGGGUCUCGAACAAGCCCAGAGGCGCAAUGAAAGUAAAGGCAGGCACCAGCCUGCCGAGUCGGGAUCCCGGAAUUCAUUCCGGGCGCACCGACGACCCGUCUUGUGCAGUUUACUGCUUAGGCGGA